CGGCGAUAUUUUUUUCUUAUGUUAAUAUGAAAACAGCUUUGCGAGGCGUACCCAGUGUGUCACCUGACCAGCUGCAGAUUCCCUCUUUCUCACGGCCACAUUGUGUUGGUGGGAGUCCUGUCAGGUUACAGUCCUUCUUCCCUCAGGCGUGUCUGACAUGUUGACGUCCCAAUAGUGAACCAGAGCCAGAACCAGGUGAUGCCAAAACCUUGCACAAUGGGACGCCUCCUCCGAGACCGUCCUUCCUCUCGGAUGGUAGAACAGCUUGUGCUCGGAUGCUUCACAGCCUCACCGCGGUUUUCCAGGGUCGUGAACUUUGAGAUGAGCUUUACAGCCGCUCAACCUGUCCCGAACUGUGUUGAGCUAUUGUGGAUCAGAGAAGAUUGAUAGUGGCCUAGCUCUGUUUUGUUCCCAUACCGACAGUUGAUGGUUAUGUUUUUUUUAAUUACAAGUUGGGCGACUUCUGCUUUUUUUAUUUUUCUUGCGCCUAACACUGCUUCUGCAUUCCAUCAUUAUUCACCACAGAUGCUGUGUCUUCAGCUGCAGCUCACAAGUUUUCAUACCCUCAUAUAAAAUGAUAUCAAAUAAAAUGUCAGGGUCAGUGAUGAUCUUUACAAUUCUUGGGGAGUUUACACUUCAAUCACAAUAAAUGUGUAAUUGACAUGUGCAAAUGAAUCCAUUCAUACUUAAAUGCUGAUUUAUCUUGUUGCUGCUAUGUGUAAAAUAGAGAAUAGGCUUUAUCGACUUGAUUCAGGUUAAUAUAUUAUCUUUAAAAUGUUUAUGUUUGCCACAAAACAUUUAUAGAACUAAACAUUAUAACCUGUACAGUAGGAAAAUAAGUCACUUAUGGCCUCAGAAGUAAAUUAUCAUUCAUAGACUUUCAUUUAAAUAAAAUUGCACUUGCACAUUGUGUUAAUUAAAAUGUUUAUGUUUUUAGGAUUAUCGUCUUUGCAUUCAUACUCAUAAAUUGACAUUGACAGUUCAUAAUCAAUUAACUGAACCAAACUUCUUUCAGUGAUACAAUAAGAAAUGUGCAGCAUGAGAUGAGGGAUUGGUGAUUAUAUGUAUAUGUUAGUAAUUGUGUGUGCAUAUAAAAUGCAAUUCAUUAUAGUAGAAAUGUGUCACUGUUUGUAGUUCAUAUAAAUGCAAAAAACGUGUAUAAACUGGAAUAGGCAUAAAAUGAAUGCAUGACUUGA